rnacentral:rRNA from 1 species
UACGGAGGGUGCAAGCGUUAUCCGGAUUCACUGGGUUUAAAGGGUGCGUAGGUGGCGUGGUAAGUCGGGUGUGAAAUUUCGGAGCUUAACUCCGAAACUGCAUUCGAUACUGCCGUGCUUGAGGACUGGAGAGGAGACUGGAAUUUACGGUGUAGCAGUGAAAUGCGUAGAGAUCGUAAGGAAGACCAGUGGCGAAGGCGGGUCUCUGGACAGUUCCUGACACUGAGGCACGAAGGCCAGGGGAGCAAACGGG